rnacentral:lncRNA from 1 species
CAAAAAUGUCCGUUUUUGAGCAACUACGCCCAUUCGUAAGCCUUUGUCAAGCUUGUGGCAUGAUCCCUUUUACUAUCGAACAAAAUCAGAUUACUAACAAAUUUGAGAAAUUUACUUUUUCUUUUCGACACCUCACUACCUGGUGGUUUUUCCUAGUUAUGUUUAUUGAAACUAUAGUUAUGAGCGUGAUGGGAUACGUCUCUUUCAUUCAAACAUUUGAUAUGCUAAACGGUCAAAAUUUGCCUAUCACUGUAAUUAUCCUUUUAUUUGUAAUUGGAAUGUCUUACUUCGCUCAACUACUCUUAUCUCGUUGGAUCAUUCUCCACUACCGUCAACUACGCAAUGCGAUCGAAAUCAUUCAAGAAGUGGAGAAACUUUUUGGAGAGAAGUUUAUUUCGCGACACCCGAGCUCCGUUACGACACGAUUUAUUAUCGGCUUUGUUCUCGUCGUUAUUUCGGCUAUAGGAACUUUGACUCUAUCUACUUCGGUUCACCGACAGUUUUCAUCAUUGAUUUACACGAAUAACGUCUUUGCUUCAGUUGCUACAUUUUCCACUUUAGCAUUUAUCUACUUGUUAUUUGAAUCUACAUUUUUUUUCUUUCAUAUGUGUUAUUACAUAAUUGCUUACUAUGUCCAACUUCUGAUAAUAUGCUCCGAUGACGAAAAUCAAACAAUUUCGCAGAAGACGUAAGAGCCUUUUUUGUGGUCAUCAUUUGUAGAAGUGAUGUGGUAAUCAUUUAUAUGAUUUAAAACAGGAAGGAUAGGAUAGGAGCGCUGAAAAAAAACACUCUGAUUUUGAAUUACCUUUGUCGGGCCUCACAGGAAUUAAAUGGAAUUUUUUCCGUCCCAGUUUUAAUUUUGUUGACUGCAAAAUUCAUCUCGGUCGUCACCACUGCUUUCGCAUAUAUUUACAACUGUUUUAUUCGUUCAAACGUUGUCUUGGAUAGUUACAGUUGGCUGUUUCUUUUCAUGUUUUUCACUGAUUGGAUCAAAAUUUUGAUCCUUUUUAACGCUGCUGACAUGCCCGUUAAUCAGAUUCGUCUUCUCCGCGACAAAGUUACCGCAAUAUCAUCUUAUGGAUUGUCUCAUUCGUUGGCCGAAAAAAUCACGUUAAUGACUUCCCUGGUGCAGAUUGACGAAAAUCGUGUCCGAUUGUCCGCUGCUGGACUGUUUAAGGUGGGGAUGCACCUUGUUCCGGCUUUGGCAGGUGCUGUAGUGACGUACAUGGUUAUCCUCCUUCAAAAUUAGAUCAGCCUAUCAGAACGGUUGAGAAAAGGAAAAGUACUCACAUAGAAAUUCGUACAUUUUGAAAAAUAUAUCUAUCUGAGCAAUUACUUAUAUGCUUACUCGUUUUGGACUUUUGGGACAAAAACAAAAGCUAAUAAAA